CUCUUCCUUCUCUACUUCCAUCCCAAUCUCCUAAAACCCCAUCAUCAUCAUCACCUCUCUACCCCUCCAUUCUCCCCAAAUCAUCAUCACAUUCUCAAUUCUAUGGUCACAAACUCUCCUAUGCCUCCUCUCUAUCAUUCCCAUCUUCUGCUUCUUCACUCAAGACUUCCAUUUUUUCCAAGGUAAACAAAGGUGGGGUGCCUCCAAACUUUUCACUGAAAGAUCAAGAUGG
rnacentral:misc_RNA from 1 species